AUGAACAGAGGUAUGAAGGAGUCUAAAUCUGAAACUGACGUCCAACCAGUCUACGCUUCCCUCUACGCCCAUGCGAUUACCAUCAUCAUUGUCCACGAGCUUGCCGCUUCAGCAAUCGCAGAUCACCUCCGCAAAAAGCAUCACAUUAUCGUCAGAGCCCAUGCCUUCACUCUCUCCAUAGCCACUCCCUCCGUAUAUCCAUCAUAG